AUCAGAGUGGCGCAGCGGAAGUGUGGUGGGCCCAUAACCCACAGGUCCCAGGAUCAAAACCUGGCUCUGAUA
rnacentral:tRNA from 1 species